GACGAACGCUGGCGGCGUGCUUAACACAUGCAAGUCGAACGGAAAGGCCCUGCUUGCCGGGUGCUCGAGUGGCGAACGGGUGAGUAACACGUGGGUGAUCUGCCCCUUACUUUGGGAUAAGCCUGGGAAACUGGGUCUAAUACUGGAUAGGACCAUGCUGUAGGUGGUGUGGUGGAAAGAUUAGUUUCGGUAAGGGAUGAGCUCGCGGCCUAUCAGCUUGUUGGUGGGGUAAUGGCCUACCAAGGCGUCGACGGGUAGCCGGCCUGAGAGGGUGGACGGCCACAUUGGGACUGAGAUACGGCCCAGACUCCUACGGGAGGCAGCAGUGGGGAAUAUUGCACAAUGGGCGCAAGCCUGAUGCAGCGACGCCGCGUGGGGGAUGACGGCCUUCGGGUUGUAAACUCCUUUCAGCCAUGACGAAGCCCUUGUGGUGACGGUAGUGGCAGAAGAAGCACCGGCUAACUACGUG
rnacentral:rRNA from 1 species